GGAGUAGCUCAGUCAGGGCCUAAUGUCAGUGCUCACAGCUAGGCUAUCAAUCAUGUCUAUAAAGUUGUGAUUAGAGCCUGAAUAGGCCAGAUUACAACCUGAGGUGUCGUGACUAUUUCAGCAAGCCACAUGAUUGUUGUUGGAGACUCUCAGCAAACAGAAAAAAUGUUAUUCACGUCAGACAAAUAGAAAUAUUGUCUUGAAAUCCCAGUGUUUAAGGCUUCAAUGUUAGAUUGGCAUCACUCAAUGC